rnacentral:rRNA from 1 species
UAAUACAUUACAACUUUCAGCGGUGGAUGUCUAGGUUCCCCACAAUGAAAGAACGCAGCGAAAUGCGAUACGUAAUGCGAAUUGCAAGACCUCGUGAAUCAUCAAGAUUUUGAACGCACAUUGCGCUUUCGGGUAUUCCCGGUAGCAUGCUUGUCUGAGUCUGUGGAUCCC